rnacentral:rRNA from 2 species
GUGGAUGCCCUGGCAGUCAGAGGCGAUGAAGGACGUGCUAAUCUGCGAAAAGCGUCGGUAAGGUGAUAUGAACCGUUACAGCCGGCGAUGUCCGAAUGGGGAAACCCAGUGUGAUUCGUCACACUAUCGUUAACUGAAUACAUAGGUUAACGAGGCGAACCGGGGGAACUGAAACAUCUAAGUACCCCGAGGAAAAGAAAUCAACCGAGAUUCCCCCAGUAGCGGCGAGCGA